rnacentral:rRNA from 1 species
UACUAUAGCUUGACACUGAACAUUGAGCCUUGAUGUGUAGGAUAGGUGGGAGGCUUUGAAGUGUGGACGCCAGUCUGCAUGGAGCCGGCCUUGAAAUACCACCCUUUAAUGUUUGAUGUUCUAACGUGGACCCGUAAUCCGGGUUGCGGACAGUGUCUGGUGGGUAGUUUGACUGGGGCGGUCUCCUCCUAAAGAGUAACGGAGGAGCACGAAGGUUGGCUAAUCCUGGUCGGACAUCAGGAGGUUAGUGCAAUG